CUUUUUUUUUUUUUUUUUUUAAAUUCUUGAGACAAGUUCCCUGCGGCUGUAGCUGGCUUAAAUCUGUGACAAUUGUCUUAUCUCAGCCUCCCUGUCUACUUCUGGUAUUACAGGCCGGCCAGGGCUUUAUUUCAAGCUCGUGCACUUAAUUAGCAGCGGUCACCGCCUCCCCCCCCCACGGCCCUCACCCUACCCCUGCCAUCCUAACCAUCCCGAAGGAUAAGUAGAUGUCGGAUGUCCUUAUUGAUCAACACCUCUUCCUAGCAGCUCAGGGCACUAUUGAUAACCUGCCCUGGCUGGCUCACUAAUGUGGAUUCCCAGCCGGGCUGCAUUUGUGACUUGGGUAAUGCCUGCUGAGGUCAGUGAAUGGUGGAGAGGGUGAGGUCAUGUUGAAAAUCCCCCUAAACCGGACACUAUGAUGCGAUGCUCAUUCUUCCCAAGGAAGCAGAUAAGCGUUCAGCCUAGGACUGCGGCAGGCACAUUUUAGGUUUCCUGCCAGACUUCAGAGGAUAUGACAGACAAGAAAAAUUUUUUUUUCUGUCACACCAGCAGAUCAGGCCUAACACCUGAAAAGACUCCCAGGGAACACGUGACAAGUGACAUCUGAGUGACUGUGUAGCAAAGACCUCAGAAGCCAACUUCUUCAUUCUUUGUCAGUUUCAAAGGGGAAAGGCGGUUUGAUGCCUGUCUGGUUUUGCUCCUGGGUCCUGGCUUGUGCGCAACUUGGGAACUUCCUGUGUGUUAGGGAGCUGGGGUAAGAGGUCAACACCGUGAUAUGCGCAAGUUUAAAUUUUAAAAACCAGUGCUGUAAAUCAGUCAGUCAGUUACUGUCAGUUUGGGCCAGUGACUGAGAAGCUCAUGACUCACUACACUGGCUGCAGUAAACAAUACCUGUAGUGGAAUUGUCUCCUGUUACACCCACAGAGACUGUGAGUGGAUCUAAGCCCACAGACUAGACCGGCUGCAAAAUAGGCUGUGCUCACUUUCAGAAUCUGUGGAUUGCUAAGGUCAGGCCUGAUUCCAAAGUCUGCUAUGGAUGGAUGGUCACUAUAUAACCUUGACCACUGUUAGAGAUGCCCUCCCUGUUCAGGGUCCAUGGAAAGGCUACCCAGGACAGGUAGGUGCGAAGCCCUUCGGGGUGACCUCCGUGUUCUAAUCUGAAUUCUUUAGCAGAAACAGAGGAGGGAAAUGCAUACGUUAGAUUAAGCAUCUUCGUUUUCCUGAGGUGUGCACAACAUAAUGGGAAAGCAAGCAUGCCUAGGAGGCAGGAAGGGAUUCCUGCCUGGCCAGUUCUUGUCGGGACUUGUAGUACAGCAGGGAGGCUGUUCAAAGCCCUGAGUGGAACCUCGCCUCGGAACAAAUUUGACUGGAGUUGAGCCUGGCUGCUCUAAUCAGGGUUUCUGAAAAGAAACGUUUAAAGCCGGGACCCGGCUUUGGUUGCUGCGUGUAAACCAGUGAUCAAGACACUUUGCAAAUCAUAAGCAUGAAAAAGUCAGUUUAGUGGUUCUUCAAAAGCUAAACACAGAACUACCACGUGACCCGGCAGGUCCACACCUAAGUGUAUACCCUCAGAAAACCGAGAAUGCUGCUCAGGCAAAAACUUGGACACCCAUGGUCCUGGCAGCGCUGUUAAGAACAACAACGACAAAAUAAAUGAAUAAAAUUUAAAGGGGGGCGGGACUUAAAAAGACCCAAAUGCCCAUUGGCAAAUGAAUGGCUAAACAAAAUGAGAUUCAUCCAAGCAACAGGUCUCCCAGUCAGAAAAAGGGUAAAAGUGCUGCUAGAAGGGACUGAGGAGGUGACUCAGUGUUUAAAGUGCCUGAUGUUUAGACAUGAGGGCUGUAGUCUGAUCUCCCGGAGCCCACAAUAAUGCCAGGUAGCAUAGUGGCUUAGAAGACAGAGACAGGAGGUCCAGAGCACACUGACUAGCGAGGUUAGCUAAAGCAGCAAGCUCUGGGUUCAAGUGAGAUCCUGUCUCAACGAAUAAUGAAUGCAUGCUCGCAGGUACACGCGUGUGCCUCUACAGACGUGAACAUUUACCAAACAUACGCUGAUACACGUUACAAGAAUCAACUUCGAGAAUAUCACCCUCAGCGUGGGAGGCGCCUAUGCCUCCAAAACACAUCCACGAGCUGCCGAUGACCAGCUGAGACCUCAGCUCAUCCUCAAUCAGAGGUUCAAAGACAGGCAUGGGUGACCACAGACACACCUUGCUCUGAAGCGUCAGACCCAUCACAGACAAAGCCCUGCCCACACAUCCCAGACUCUUCCUGGAGUGUCCUAAACUUGCUGUUCACUCUAUCUCAUUUAUUUUCUCUUAGCACUGUGUGUGUGUGUGUGUGUGUGUGUGUGUGUGUCUGUGUCUCUGUGUGUGUGUCUGUGUGUCUGUGUGUGUGUCUGUGUGUGUCUGUGUCUCUGUGUGUGUGUCUGUGUGUGUCUCUGUGUGUGUGUGUCUGUGUGUGUGUCUGUGUGUCUGUGUGUGUGUGUCUGUGUCUCUGUGUGUGUGUCUGUGUGUGUGUCUGUGUGUGUGUGUCUGUGUCUGUGUCUGUGUGUGUGUGUCUGUGUGUGUGUCUGUGUGUGUGUGUCUGUGUCUGUGUCUCUGUGUGUGUGUGUCUCUAUGUGUGUGUCUGUGUGUGUGUCUGUGUCUGUGUGUUGUCUGUGUGUGUGUCUGUGUGUGUGUCUCUGUGUGUGUGUGUCUGUGUGUGUGUCUGUGUCUGUGUGUUGUCUGUGUGUGUGUCUGUGUGUGUCUGUGUGUGUGUGUCUGUGUGUGUGUGUCUGUGUCUGUGUCUCUGUGUGUGUGUCUGUGUCUGUGUGUUGUCUGUGUGUGUCUGUGUGUGUGUCUGUGUGUGUCUCUGUGUGUGUGUCUGUGUCUCUGUGUGUGUCUGUGUGUGUGUCUGUGUCUCUGUGUGUGUCUGUGUGUGUGUGUGUCUGUGUGUGUGUGUGUCUGUGUCUGUGUGUUGUCUGUGUGUGUGUCUGUGUGUGUGUGUCUGUGUGUGUGUGUGUGUAUGCUCGUGCCCCUCUUUGAUGUACAUGCUGAGACCAGAGAAGGAUGUUGAGACAGGGUCUCUCAUUGAAGUGGAAGUUCCCCAUUUUAGUUAGACUGGCUGGCCAGUGAGAUCUGGAUAGCAACCUUUUUUUGUCCCUGGUGGACACAUCAGCGAUGACCAGCUUUUUUUUUUUUUGUACAGGUGCCAUACAUACAUUUAAACUCCUGCUUGCUUGCAGAGCAAGCAUUCUUACUCACUGAGCCAUCUCCCCAACGUCCUCCACUUUCCCCCUCCUUGAAAUAGGGUCUCACUGUGGAGCCCAGGGUGGCCUCAUACGCAAAUCAUCUUAGCCACCCGGGUGCUGAGGUUAUAGGUGUGUGUCACCAUGCCUGCUUCUCUUGUCACUUUAAAAGAUGACAGGUACUUGUUUCUUACCAGUAACAAGAACUGUUUAAAUACAAGUUCUCCUUCCGCAGGGAGAGUCAUCUGCUCCCAAUCUGAUGGCAGCGGUUUGGUUUCCAAUGGAACGCCGGGUGAGCAGGCUUGGACCUGCCACUUCCAUCCGCAGGCAGCCACUCUCCUGUGGCUGGCUGGCUCACAGGCUCAGUUUUCAGGUAUUGUCACAUGUCACGGCCUGCUGAGCUGGCCUUUGCCUCACUGAAAAAUGCCGGGAUAGAGUACGUCAGCCGGCUGUGUUUGUCUCACAGCCAUAAAGGCCCAUCCAGCGGUGCUGAGAGAAGGUCCACAUGGCUUUUGUCUGUCUGUGACAAGGCUCCCGGAGCAAAUAAUGUCACCGGCUCAUCCUUCUGACUCCAGUGUCAGCUGCUAAGGAAAAAAAAAAAAAAAACGUCGAGGAAAGAAGGAUUCAGGGGAAGGCAGCAGAUGCUGAGUCAGAAUCAUGGUGUUGGAAGGCUCACAGGAGAGGCUUUCAGUCCAGACCAGGUUCCUUCUGCUUGAGCGUCAGCCUCAUGCCACUGCCUGCCAGGACCCUGCGGGAGAGGGGAGGAGACAGCAGAAGCCAGGGGAAGUGGCUCAAGAGGUGACCAGGAAUUUUGUGCUUGUGACCUGGAGUAGGAGAAGCUCCUUUAGGUAGAGACCUCAGCUACCCUCCCGGCUCCUUCUACACAGGUGGGACUCUUAUUUUUUUUUUUUUUUAAUUAUAUAUGUGUGCACUGUAGCUGUCUUCAGACACACCAGAAGAGGGCAUCAGAUGCCAUUACAGAUGGUUGUGAGCCACCAUGUGGUUGCUGGGAUUUGAACUCAGGACCUCUGGAAGAGCAGUCAGUGCUCUUAACCACUGAGCUGUCUCUCCAGCCCAACACAGGUGGGACUCUUAGAUCACUGGCUGUCCAUUUUCUAAUUCAGAGAAGGGACCAUUGCAGUGGGGGAACUUAGUAGACUCAGUUGCCUUUCUUAUCUGUAAAAGAGCCACCGCAUGUAAAGAGUGGUGAAGAUUAAACAAUAGGCACGUGUGCUCAGUGUCCGUUCUGCAAACGGGAGGCAUGAUUUCAGACUAUUACAGGAAGAAGUGAGUCAGUGGUUUGAAAGCCCUAGGGAACUUAGCAGCGUUCUUCUCCUGAGGGCCACAGAGAUGGCUCAGUGGGUAAAGUCGCCCACCACCAAACCCAAUGACCCGAGUUUUGAUUUCCAGAACCCACAGGAGAAGGAGAGAACCAAUUCCCACAGGACCUUUGACCACCACGCUUAAACACCGUGGCACACGUGCACAGCCACACACGAACACACAAAAUAAAUGUAAUGAUAAUAAUAGAAAAGAGGAACAAGAGUGUUGGACCCUUCCUAAGCCUCCCUACCUAUGGAUUAAACAUGUUUUUGUUUGGUUGGUUGGUUUGUUUUUUUUCUCUUUCCCAUGCUCAAAUUUACUCACAGACCUGUUCCCCAGUAAGAUCUGUUUCUGUUUGCAAGGGCCUGAUACAACUAGGAGGAAAAAACAGGCAUAUUAAGAGUGUCCCCGGGGGGGGGGGGGGGGGGGCUGGGGAUUUAGCUCAGUGGUAGAGCGCUUACCUAGGAAGCGCAAGGCCCUGGGUUCGGUCCCCAGCUCCGAAAAAAAAGAACGGAAAAAAAAAAAAGAGUGUCCCCGGGCUGGAGAGAUGGCUCAGCGGUUAAGAACACUGACUGCUCUUCCAGAGGUCCUGAGUUCAAAUCCCAGCCACCACAUGGUGGCUCACAACCAUCUGUAAUGGGAUCCAAUGCCCUCUUCUGCUGUGUCUGAAGACAGCUACAGUGUACUUAUAGAAUAAAUAAAUAUUUUUUUUAAAAAGUGUCCCCUAAAAUGUCAACAUAGCACUUCCACCAGAAGCCUAAGGAAUUUUCAGCCAGAACAGAGGUGUAAGUGGGGAUAUCGGGAUGGGACACGAAGAGCUUGGGCGCAUGGUGGCACACAUCUAUAAAGAAGGGAAGUCACCACAAGUUUGAGGCCAGCAUGAUCUACUUAGCUAGUGAGACUUUGUUUCAAAAAAAAAGGAAGCGGGGUUGGGGAUUUACCUCAGUGGUAGAACGCUUGCCUAGCAAGCACAAGGCCCUGGGUUCGGUCCCCAGCUCUGGAAAAAAAAAAAAAAAAAAAAAAAAGGAAGGGAGGGAGAGAGGGACAAAGGGAGGAAGAGUUUUCCCAUCUGUUAUGUGGGUCAGCAACCUCACAAAGCUUUCGUAGCAGUUUUAGGAGAUGGCCAAGCAGACACUUUGUCCUGUUGGAACUGUCCAUUUGAUGAACUGGCAUUUGUCAUCAAGGGCAAGGUCAUGGUUAGUAAGGACAUUUCUCCAUCUCACAUCCACAUGUUCAACAGCCACCAUUAGCCCUCAGCCUACAGCUGAGCGCACUGAGCCCCAGCUACAGCAGACUCAUCCCCAGGGAAGGGGACUUGGCCUGGUUGAAUAAGGAACUUGGGGAUCUUGGCAGCAGCAAGUUAGUGUGGAAGGAAGCAUAGGUCUUGACGGUUCCUUUCAACUUUGUCCGUUUGUACGGACAACAUCGGGAGAUAGCUAGAGUGGAGCCUUCGAGGCAUGGCCGACUGGAAGCUUCUCUUGUCUGGAGUGAAAGGCUGCUGCUGGCCGGGAGGAUGCCCCUUUCCCAGAGCCACACUAGACCUCAACAGCUUCCAAGUUCCCAGGCUCUCGAGGUGGACCUCAGCCCAGUUACUCCAUCUCAGUCAUUCACUAGCUGGUCCUCAGCUCGGGAGCUGUGAGUGCUCUUCCCACAGGAGCCCGGGGAGGCUCCGGUUAUCCCCACCCUUCCCAAGGCCACCCUGGGCAGGGAGCCAAAAAACAGUUUCUGGAAAAGGCAGAGACAGACUAUAAAUUAUUUUUUUUAAACCAUCCUCCAGUUAUCUGAUCACCCGGGGUGUCUGCUCAGUGAAGAAAUCCCAAGAGUUAAACAAGAAGAGGUAGCCUCACUCUUUUGGGGGUGCAGGGUGUGAGCCCGAAAGACUCUCCUCUGCUGAGCCACACAGUGUAGUGAGAAGGAUGGAGAGGGCUGGGGUUGCACAGCUCAGCGGCAGCGCAUGGGGCAGCCCCUGGGUUUGAUCCUCAGCAAAGGGACAGGUCAAGAGGUGGGGAUUUAAGAGCAAAGUGCUUAGAGUUUAAAAAAGGAAUAACAAGAACUGUCCUGGCUUUUUUUUUUUUUUUAAAGAUUUAUUUAUUAUAUUUAUUAUAUAGAAGUACACUGUAGCUGUCUUCAGACACACCAGAAGAGGGCAUCAGAUCUCAUUACAGAUGGUUGUGAGCCACCAUGUGGUUGCUGGGAUUUGAACUCAGGACCUCUGGAAGAGCAGUCAAUGCUCUUAACCACUGAGCCAUCUCUCCAGCCCUGUCCUGGCUUUCUAAGAAAUGAGUGGAUCGCUGGGACUCCCAACUCAUUUGUUUUAAAGAGUUGCGGAGCUGGGGUUGGGAUGCCUUUCAGCCCCUCCCGGGACAGACAGAUGUUAUGAUUAAUUUGCCAGGGGAAGCACAGCAAGCUCCCAAGGGAAGGCCGGAACCAAGCACCUUCCACCCAGAACUUGUUUCCAGAGACAUUGGCUCCCCCAUGCCCUAUGGAGAGUGAUGAAAUCUCAAUCAAUAGGGAACGUUGUUAAUAACCAGGAACCAUGUGAUGUUUCUGAAAAGCUUUCCUGCCAGAGCCUGGUGUGGUCUCCUCAGAAAGUACUAGCACGUCCUUACGGAGACGUUUCUGUUAACAAAUUACUUUCUUGGUUAAUCUUUCUCCCUUUCAGCAGUUCUAGCCAUUUUGUGUGUAUGUGUGUGUGUGUGUGUGUUGCUUUUCAUAUAAUAUAUAAUAUGUAACAUAUGUUAUGUAUGGUAUUAUAACAUUUAACAUAUAUAUUGUUUUUUUUUGUUUUUUUUUUUUUCGGAGCUGGGGACCGAACCCAGGGCCUUGCGCUUCCUAGGCAAGCGC